rnacentral:tRNA from 1 species
GCACCCUUAGCUCAGCUGGUUAGAGCGUGCGAUUCACAUUCGCAAGGUCGCAGGUCCGAUUCCUGCAGGGUGCACCA